UAGAGAGCAUCGACUCCAUCGAGCUCAUGGUACAGUAACAGUUUCUUAGAGAUUAUUACUUCAACAUUACUACUUGUUGAUAUGUCAUGAUACUCUGAUCAGAUUAAGGACAGUCGCCUGGAGGUACGUCAACCACAUAGACUCAUAUAGCUCGUUGUGUCCUCUUACCUUUGAAUCAUGAAUCGAAGACCAAACACUCCUAUUUUACCAUUUGUGUUACUGUUUAUCAUCACUUUGAGUAUUGUUCAUCAUCUUCU
rnacentral:lncRNA from 1 species